UCCUCACACCUCUCUAACCAAAAAAAUCAAAUAAUUAGAAACCAUCGCCGCCACCCCCCUUUACCGAUCGGACCAUCGGUUAAAGCCGAUUUCGGCGUCACUGACGCCACCUCCCAUCAACCCCUGUCCCUUUCUCCCCUUUUCUUCAAGUGACAGAGCUUCGAACAGGUCGUCCAAGUCGAAUCAGCCCCCAAAUCGAAAAGCACGCAAACGUCUUUGGAAUUCUAGACCGCUCUUCCAACAAUCCAUAGGCUAAAGGCUCGUUUCAGUCCGUUGGAGUCUAAAAUCAUGAAGAAUCCACUAAAUUCGGAGUCCCAACUAAUUUGUAGAAAAGUUCUCGGCUAAAACAACAAGCUUUUCUAGCGGAUUUGGAGACUCGACAACUACAAUAGCCUCAGUUCGCUGUCCCAAAACAGGUGCAUUUUUCUUGUCUAUCGCUUUUGUUUCUUUUGCCUUACUUCAGUUUCAAAUGGAUGUCACAUAAAUAAAUUUUAUUUUGAUAAUUAAGUAUAUUUGUGUUCUGCUUUGUGUCAUAAAUGAUAAGAGAAUCAGACUUUUUCUCUGGUAUGAGUAUGUGCUAACAAUAAAGUUUGUUUAAGGUUUAUUCAAUUUUCUACUUUAUUGGUUGUUUAAGCCUGUUAAUUUACAGGUCUUUACUUAAUUUACGGAUUAAAAGUUUAGCCAUUUAAUCAGCUGGUAUUUAGUUUCGUCCAAAGUAGGUGGAUCAGUUCAAGUUCUGUGUUAAAUUUGAAUGAAUAAGCGCUCUUCUUUUCUCUUUCAUCUCUAUCUUUCUCUUUAUUUUUACUUCAUAUUCAAACAAACGAUGUAUUAGACAAUUUGAUUAUAGUGAUUAAAUACGUGUUUGUAUUUGGCUAAUGUCGUGAAAGUUGUGAGACUUUUAACUUUUCUGAUUAUUUGUUAUAACCAGGAGUGUUGUUAAAAAAAAAUGAGAUCCUAAUACGCCAGAUUCAUCUACUGUUAAUAUCUUAAAGGAUAGAUGUUAUCUUUUCAUGUUUGAGUAAGAGGCUAUGACUUUAGAUUUCUUUCUCAGUUGUUUUACUUUCUUAUCGUGCGAUUUAACAAACGAUUCUAGUUUAAGUAACGAUCUUUGGAUUCUGUUUCUUUGAGACUUAUGCUUUGGAGACUCCAUUCGUAUCAAGUGAUUUUCAAGUUGUCCCCUUAACAAAUGAUCCGGAGUUUCAGUUUUCCCUUUUAUUUUGGAAUCUGAAUUUGUUGGUAGAGUAAUUUAAGAUGAACUACUGCUAUAUAAAGAAGAAGACUUGUCUACGAGUUGAAUUUACAAGUUUGUUUCAUGAAGCGACAAUCUUAAAAUCGGAAUACAUAUUCAGUUGUGUGGUUUGAAGUUUCAUAUGAGGAACAGUUAGACGACCAUUAGCCUUUCCUUGUUUUGUUCAUUAAUAAUAGCCUUCUUUGAUCUUUUGGAACUUGUAAUGGACGAUCAAGUAUUUUCUAUUAACAACUGGUCAUAGAAUAGUCUCAGAUUCAUAACCAUGAGUGAGAUCCCAUAUGAUUAGUCAAUAACCAAGUUGUGUCACUAUAAAGAGUACUACAUAACAUUCUGUUUAUUAUUAUUCAUCGCAUAACAGUCUCUGCAUCACUGUUCAUUGUAUGACAAUCCCUUUAUUAUUUUUAAACACAUAAACAAUCCAUGCAUUAUAAUUUCUGUAUAACUAGUGUGCGAAUCGAACAACCCCUCACUUUCCAGCAUAUUUCUCCGAGCUUUUGGUUGGCUUUCGGAAAAUCCAUUGAGAAUAUGAUAGGAGUAAAUAUUCCGAGGUUCUAUUUCUGCCUGUUUAUUUGAGUGUGUUGUGUAAAUAUGGCUUCGAGCAUUAAGGUAACGCUAAUGAAUAUACCUUUACCAUUAUAGAAAAAAAUUGAAGUGUACUGCUUGUUACUUUUGCAUAUCUAUGUAUUAUUAGUUCGAAAAUCCUGAGUUGUUGGGGGCUUAAUUUACUUUAGCUCAUCCUGUGGAGCAGUCAAUCGCUUAAUAGUUUGGUUGUCACUUAUUUGAUGAUUACUGAACUAAUGGUGGCCUUAUCAUAUAUUAUGGAGGCCAUUUUUUUUUUUUUUGAAGCAGUGAUAACUAGUUCAGGUCAUGCCUUGGAUUUUGCAUAUUCUUUUGGAAAUGCUGUUAAACAGCGGUCUUCUCAGCUUCCGUAAUUAGCCUGUACAUUUAAAUAAUACGUGGCUGCUUAGACAAACUUCCAUUAUGCAGUUAAUUAGUAGUUGACACUCUUCUUUUGUGCUUAAAUUUUAUCUUUUAACCUUCACCGGCUAAAAUAAGCCUCAUGUUGGUUAAUCCAGCUUAGGAUAUGAAUGUUUACUUAGAAAAUUAGGUGUUAGAACAUUUCUUAAUGGAGCUUGCGAUAUUUGAGUCUGUUUCUACCUCAAAGAAGUUAAGAUCUGUUUGGCUUGGGUUGUAAACCAUCACCUGUAGCAAUAACUUAUUAUUCUUCAAUUACUUGUUUAGAUUCUAAUUCUUUUCUUUCUUUCUUUU